rnacentral:rRNA from 1 species
AAUCUCGGAAAACUGAGGAUAAUACCCCAUAGGUCUGGAUGGCUGGAAUGCCUUCAGACUUAAAACUCCGGUGUCCCAGGAUGGGUCUGCGGCCUAUCAGGUCGUAGUGAGUGUAAAGGACUCACUAGCCGACGACGGGUACGGGCCAUGGGAGUGGUAGCCCGGAGAUGGAUUCUGAGACACGAAUCCAGGCCCUACGGGGCGCAGCAGGCGCGAAAACUUCGCAAUGCGCGCAAGCGCGACGAGGGGAUUCCAAGUGCAUGCACUCAGUGUAUGCUGUUUUCCAGUUCAAAAAGCUGGGAGAGUAAGGGCUGGGUAAGACUGGUGCCAGCCGCCGCGGUAAUACCAGCGGCCCGAGUGGUGAUCGUAAUUAUUGGGCCUAAAGCGUCCGUAGCCGGCUCGGUAAAUCUCUGGGUAAAUCGAUAGGCUUAACUUAUCGAAUUCUGGGGGAGACUGUCGGGCUUGGGACCGGGAGAGGUCGGAGGUACUCCAGGGGUAGGGGUGAAAUCCUGUAAUCCUUGGGGGACCACCGGUGGCGAAGGCGUCCGACCAGAACGGGUCCGACGGUAAGGGACGAAGCCCUGGGGCGCAAACCGGAUUAGAUACCCCGGGUAGUCCAGGGUGUAAACGCUGUGCGCUUGGUGUUGGGGGUCCUACGAGGGCACCCAGUGCCGGAGAGAAGUUGUUAAGCGCACCGCCUGGGGAUUACGGUCGCAAGACUGAACUUAGA